rnacentral:rRNA from 1 species
GGAGGAAAGCAGGGGAUCGUAAGACCUUGCGCUUUUGGAGCGGCCGAUGUCUGAUUAGCUAGUUGGUGGGGUAAUGGCCUACCAAAGCUUCGAUCAGUAGCUGGUCUGAGAGGACGGCCAGCCACACUGGGACUGAGACACGGCCCAGACUCCUACGGGAGGCAGCAGUGGGGAAUUUUGGACAAUGGGCGCAAGCCUGAUCCAGCCAUGCCGCGUGAGUGAAGAAGGCCUUCGGGUUGUAAAGCUCUUUCAGCCGGGAAGAAAAGGCUGCGACUAAUAAUCGCAGUUCAUGACGGUACCGGAAGAAGAAGCACCGGCUAACUACGUGCCAGCAGCCGCGGUAAUACGUAGGGUGCGAGCGUUAAUCGGAAUUACUGGGCGUAAAGGGUGCGCAGGCGGCUUUGUAAGUCAGAUGUGAAAUCCCCGGGCUUAACCUGGGAAUUGCGUUUGAAACUACAAGGCUAGA